rnacentral:rRNA from 1 species
AUUGAACGCUGGCGGCAGGCCUAACACAUGCAAGUCGAGCGGAUGAAGGGAGCUUGCGCCUGGAUUCAGCGUCGGACGGGUGAGUAAUGCCUAGGAAUCUGCCUGGUAUUGGUUGAUAACGUCCUGAAACGGGCGCUAAUACCGCAUACGUCGUGAUGGAGAAAGUUGGGGAUCUUCGGACCUCACGCUAUCAUAUGAGCCUAGUUCGGAUUAGCUAGUUGGUGGGGUAAAGGCCUACCAAGGGGACGAUCCGUAACUGGUCUGAGAGGAUGAUCAGUCACACUGGAGCUGAGACACGAUACAGACACCUACGGGAGGCAGCAGUGGGUAAUGGAGGAAGAUGUGCGAAAGACUGAUCAAGCCACGGCGCGUGUGUGAAGAAGGUCCUCGGAUUGUAAAGCACUUUAAGUUGGGAGGAAGGGCAGUACGUUAAUACAUUCCUGUUUUGCGGUUACGAACAGAAUAAGCACCGGUUAACUUCGU